rnacentral:lncRNA from 1 species
UCCUAAGUCUCUAACCUGCCAGCCUCCCUUAUCAGAUUUUGGACUCUGUAAGUGUCCAAAAUUGUGUAAGCUAAUGCUUUAAAAUAAAUCUCUUUAUAUUGCAUGCACAUCCAUCCCGUUGGCUCUGUUUCUCUGGAGAAUUUUAACAAAUACAGUCACACACUAUGCUGCUGCUACUACUACUAGUGGUAAAGCCAGGUUUCAGCCCCAGGCAGCCUGGUUCCCCAGGUGGAGGAUAAGAGAUUCUAGAAUGCCAGAGGCUGGACAAGCAUUCCCUCUAUGAAGUCAGAGUUAUCUGUGAACAUAGACUCAGAAAUAGAAUUUAUUCUUACUGGUUUUCUCUGUAUGUCUACACUGAUGAUAUAACUGGGCACAAUAAACUCAUGAAACAUGAAGCUCUAAGUAGUGACACUGGAGAACCUAACAACAUACACAUUUGACUACAGAAAAUUAUAUGUUUGGGGCACAUCCCUCAUCUUUGAGAGUUGAUUUUAGGAAGUAACUGCCAUCUUGCAAAAAGUCCCUUAUUGACAGAAAAACAAAAAAAUUUGGCAAAAGAGAGUCUGACCCACCGUGGCAGUCUUUUUUUUUUUUUUUUUUUUUUUUUCUUCUUAGUUGUUAACAUUAUUCUCUGCUCAGUAGACACUGUCGUGGAAGAUUCUUGGAACACUUGGUGGCACUUGAAUUUAAAACUGUCACUAUAAAAUUAUAUCCUAUUUUAUUUAAAUUUAAUUAACUAAUAGUAGGUCCUUACAGUUUCUUUGUAAUGUGUGCAUUUAUGCCAAUACGUCAUCUUCUUUUCAAGACCCAAAUUUAAUUCUUGACCCUUAGAUAAAGGUGACCCUGGAGACAUGGCUUCAAACUGGCCCAAGAAAGGACAUCAUUCAUCAAUCAGUCAUCAGCACUAUCCAACUAUCUGGUAAGGAGAGAAAAAGCCAAAGAUGUCCUCCAUAUUCUUUUCACUAGAAAUUAGUUUUAGAUCUCUAUGGAGAAGUCAACAAAGAUGAUAGAGACUCAAGCGAAAUCACUACCUUCAAAUGUGCUCAGUAUUAAGGGCUGUGAGGUUUCACUGGUAUGGGUCAGCCAUCUCCAGUAGAGAUGUCUGUAGGAGCGCCUGAAGGCUGAUAGUUCAGGAAAGACAGGGUGCUUCUGAAUGAAGGAAACACCUAGCUAAGGCUCAAGAUCAUUGGACUCUCUUCUGGUUGUCAUACAUGCGUCAAGUGUUGUCUAUAACUCCCCUGACCCAAACUAUUAACUCUGAAAGUUAUGUAACCACGGAGGAUGAGGAGGAAGCGUGGGAUGUUCUGUUUAAGGCAGAGGCUGAGCCAUUGUGGCCGGAUUCAAUCAGUGCAAAAGAGGGCUUUGGAACACUUGGUUAGUUUCCUUCCUUCCAAAUGUCUAGACAUUCAAAAGGGUGUGCACACUUGCCUCUGACUAUUCCUGUUAAAGGCUUCUCUUCACAUAAAAUGUCACUGGUUAUAUGGGUUUGUUUAUAUUACCUUUGAACUUGAUUUGUAUUAUUCUAUCUUUGUCAACAUCCAUUCCCACUUUCUAUAAGCUUUAAACUAUCCCAGAUGCUGAGCAAAUGUAAAUUCUUUGGAA